rnacentral:rRNA from 1 species
AUUGAACGCUGGCUGCAUGCCUUACACAUGCAAGUCGAACGGCAGCGGACCUUCGGGUGCCGGCGAGUGGCGAACGGGUGAGUAAUAUAUCGGAACGUACCUUUCAGUGGGGGAUAACGUAGCGAAAGUUACGCUAAUACCGCAUAUUCUGUGAGCAGGAAAGCAGGGGAUCGCAAGACCUUGCGCUGAUUGAGCGGCCGAUAUCAGAUUAGCUAGUUGGUGAGGUAAAGGCUCACCAAGGCGACGAUCUGUAGCGGGUCUGAGAGGAUGAUCCGCCACACUGGAACUGAGACACGGUCCAGACUCCGACGGGAGGCAGCAGUGGGGAAUUUUGGACAAUGGGCGCAAGCCUGAUCCAGCCAUGCCGCGUGAGUGAAGAAGGCCU